ensembl:lincRNA Gm26610 predicted gene, 26610
GUGGAAGCCGGAACUUUGAGGAGGCACAGAAGUUCGGAGGUCCUUCCAGAAGUUUGUAAACACUGCAAAGCCAGGGUAGGAGUCUUUUGCACUCGGUGGACAGAUACACUGCCAGGGGACUUGGCUCAGCACCAUGAAGAGAGCCUAUGAAUGAAGCCUAGUUGCAGUCAAAGACCCCAGUGUAUUGGAGAUGCCAUUACUGUGAGAUGAUUAUCAAGAAUGGCAGUGGCAGUGGAGUGGAGUCAACCAGAGCCUAGAGUGCUACAGAGGGGAGAGCUGGAGAUGUGACUCAAGCCUUUUGGAGGAGCCCAGAUCAUGUGUGGAUCCCAGACACUGGAACAAGAAGCUAUAACACUGAAGUUGCGUUGGAGAUCCCAAGACAUUCAAGAUGCCAGAGCUGUGGGAUAUAUGCUGAGGAAAGCUGCUAACAGGGAGUGGAUCCAACCCAUGAGAAAGAAGUUUGUGGCAGUCAACAAAGAUGAAAAAGGAAUUGGGGAUCUGCAGACUGCUUUGACAUUAGCCAUGGAAAUGCAGCGUUUGGAGUUUGCCCAGCUGGUUUCCUGUCUUGCUUUGGGGAUUACACUUAAGUGACUGGAUAAAUCUCAGAAGGGACUUUGAACUUUUAACAUUGUUGGGACUGCUAUAGACUAUGGGGGCUUUUGAAGUUGGACUAACUGUGUUUUGCAUUAUGCUAUGUUUAGGUAUGGCCCCCAUAGACUCAUAUGUUUGAACAAGCCUAUGAGGACCUGGGAGUGGAAUAUGGUAGUAUGAAUAGUAGCACUAUUAGGAGGCAUGGCCUUGUUGGAGUAGGUGUGGCCUUGGAGUAGGUGUGUCACUGUGGGCUUUAAGACCCUUAUCCUAGCUGCCAGGAAGCCAGUCUUCUAGCAGCUUUCAAAUGAAGAUCUAGAACUCUCAGCUCUACUUGCACCAUGCCUGCCUGGGUGCUGCCAUGCUCCCACUUUGAUGAUAAUGGACCGAACCUCUGAAUCUGUAAGCCAGUCCAAUUAAACAUUGUCCUUAUAAG